rnacentral:rRNA from 1 species
GAUGAACGCUGACAGAAUGCUUAACACAUGCAAGUCAACUUGAAUUUGGGUUUUUAACUUAGGUUUGGGUGGCGGACGGGUGAGUAACGCGUAAAGAACUUGCCUCACAGCUAGGGACAACAUUUGGAAACGAAUGCUAAUACCUAAUAUUAUGAUAAUAGGGCAUCCUAUAAUUAUGAAAGCUAUAAGCGCUGUGAGAGAGCUUUGCGUCCCAUUAGCUAGUUGGAGAGGUAACGGCUCACCAAGGCGAUGAUGGGUAGCCGGCCUGAGAGGGUGAUCGGCCACAAGGGGACUGAGACACGGCCCUUACUCCUACGGGAGGCAGCAGUGGGGAAUAUUGGACAAUGGACCAAGAGUCUGAUCCAGCAAUUCUGUGCGCACGAUGAAGUUUUUCGGAAUGUAAAGUGCUUUCAGUUGGGAAGAAAGAAAUGACGGUACCAACAGAAGAAGUGACGGCUAAAUACGUG